CACAGAGGUCUCAAGCGUUGUUCGGAUUCAUUGGGCGUAAAGGGCGCGUAGGCGGUUUUGUAAGUCGAAUGUGAAAGCCCAGGGCUCAACCUUGGAAGUGCAUCCGAAACUGCGAAACUUGAAUCCUGGAGAGGGUGGUGGAAUUCCCAGUGUAGAGGUGAAAUUCGUAGAUAUUGGGAGGAACACCGGUGGCGAAGGCGACCACCUGGACAGAGAUUGACGCUGAGGCGCGAGAGCGUGGGGAGCAAACAGG
rnacentral:rRNA from 1 species